rnacentral:lncRNA from 10 species
GCCCAGGUGUGUGACCAGGUGAUCACAAAUGUGCAGGCUGAGGGCUGGCAGGUUGAGGCUGUCAGCAAGCUGACCCCCCUGCCUUCCUUGCCCGGUAAACACUCCACUGAAAUUUGAUUUGAAGAUAUGGAAUCACUAGCUUCUUUUUUUUUUUUUGAGAUGGAGUCUUGCUCUGUCACCCAGGCUGGAGUGUACAGUAAUGAGAUCUCAGCUCAAUGAAACCUCUUCCUCCCGGGAUCCAACAAUUCUCCUGCCUCAGCCUCUGGAGUAGCUGGGAUUAUAGGCGCGCACCACCACGUCGGGCUAAUUUUUGUAUUUUUAGUAGAGAUGGGGUUUCACCAUGUUGGCCAGGCUAGUCUCAAACUCCUGACCUCAGGUGAUCUACCUACCUCAGCCUCCCAAAGUGCUGGGAGUACAGGCAUGAGCCACUGCACCCAGCCAAGUGCUUUUAUUUUCUUAAGCCAAUUAAUUAGAGCUCUUUUAUAUAUUUUCAGUAGCAAAACACUGUGUACACAACAACACAUAAAUACACAGAUGUAUUAGGUAUGCUGAAAGAAGUUCAUCUUAUAGAUUCAUAAAGAGCUUUUUUCUUACACCUUCAAAUUCUUUUUUACUUUUUUUUUUUUUUUUUUUGAGACAGAGUCUCACUCUGUUGCCCAGGCUGGAGUGCAAUGGCUUGAUCUCGACUCACUGCAAACUCUGCCUCCUGGCUUCAAGUGAUUCUCCUGCCUCAGCUUCCUGAGUAGCUGGGAUUAUAGGCACCUGCCACCACAUCUGGCUAAUUUUUUUUGUAUUUUUAGUAGAGACGGGGUUUCAACAUGUUGGCCAAGAUGGUUUUGAACUCCUGACCUCAAGAGAUCUUUGCGGCUCAGCCUCCCAAAUGCUAGGAUUACAGACGUGAGCCACCGUGCCCAGCCACACCUUCGAAUUCUUGAUAACCUGUUUUACUACUCUAAGCGGUUGUCAGCUAAAUAGCCUUGAAUUUGCAUUUUAAGGAAACUGAGGUGAAAAUCGAAUAGCAAAAUUUACAUCAUAACGUAUGGAGAGAAAAAGUCUGGUGUGCUGGAGGGAAAUUAAAACAGAUUUAAUUGCCAAUUAAACAUAAAAUUAUAGAAAUUAUAAAGGCCUUUUAAAUAUAUACACACACACAAAGAUCCUAUAGCUUUUACUUCAGAAAUUUAGCCAUGAAAGCUGGGCGCGGUGACUCACGCCUGUAAUCCCAGCACCUUGGGAGGCCGAGGCGGGCAGAUCACCUGAGGUCAGGAGUUGGAGACCAGCCUGACGAACAUGGAGAAACCCCAUCUCUACUAAAAAUACAAAAAAUUAGCCAGGCAUGGUGGUGCAUGCCUGUAAUCCCAGCUACUCGGGAGGCUGAGGCAAGAGAAUCACUUGAACCAGGGAAGAGGAGACUGUGGUGACCCAAGAUCACGCCAUUGCACUCCAGCCUGGGCAACAAGAGUGAAACUCUGCCUCAAAAAAAAAAAAAGAAAAAAAAAAAAGAGAAAGAAAAGAAAAAAAGAAAUUUAGCCAUGAAAUAAAUACAAAUUCACCAGUUUACAAACAGAAAAACUAUCUGAUCCAAACAGUGUUUUUUAUCUUAAUAGAAAAAUAACAGCAAAUUUAAAGCAGGCAGAGAAGAAACUAGAGAAAAAAGAGGACUCAGGAACUCUACAGUUUGCAGGUCAACCUCAGGGCUCCUUUUUUUUUAAUGUAAAUGUGCAGAAAGACCAUAUUACUUCCACUUUACAUAAACUCUGGCAAGUAGAGGCGCCAUGAACCCUAUGGAGUACUCGGCUGGGAGGAGCAAACGCCCUUUCUCUUUGGAGCUGAGAAAACUCAAUCUCUCAUUUACCUAUGACAACAACAGUUCAGUUCCUCAUGCAAAUACAUAGACAACCCAAACUGAGAUUCAUUUUGGGAGAAAAAGCAAUAGAGAAGACCCUUUAGGAUGCAUCUCUGAACUAGAAUUAGGAUCCUUAAAUCACAGCUUCCUAGAAGAGAAAAAAAAAAAAACAAAAAAACAGCCAAGACCAUUCCCUGUAAACUGUGCUCAGCCACCCCUUCUUUGUAGUUCUCGUCUGCCAUUACACACGCCAAGGUCAAAUCCUCUCACAGUGCAGGGUCAUCUCUGGUUCCCCCAAAGCCAAAGAGGUCAGGUCAUGCCGUACAGGAAGACAGCAGAGCUUUAGACCUAAGAAGAAUCCGCCCAUCACUCUUGAAACUCCACAAAGAAAACAGAGCACCCUGGAAGGGGUGAGUGGCCCCUUUGUUCCGGAUCCUUUAAAGGGGCUCGAGUCAUUGGAAGCCUUCUCUAGAUUUUUUUGGUCCCGCAGAUGGCAAAGGCAGGAGGAGGUAUAGGGAGGAAGAAAAGUAAGUGAAAGAGCAUUUGUUGUUUUUGUUUGUUUGUUUUUUAAGACAGAAAGCAAACACAGAAACCAAGCACGUGAUUUGUUGUUUUCGUUUAGUUUUUUCCUCUUUUGCAGCUGCAAGGAAUUUUAGCCAAAUUAGAGAGGCUUUGUUACCCAUAAUUUGGAAUUCUCACUUGGAUUUGACCAAGUCAGGUAGAGUUGGUCAAAUCUGAUGAGAGAAAGACCAGAAAAAACAACAACAACAAAAGUCAAAUGAUAUGACCACAGACUGCUCUAAUGGGAAGAAGAAAUUCAGACCAGCUGGUUGUUAACCUUCAGCCAAGACAAAACCUCAGUUCAGCUACUUACCUAGGGAUGGGUCUCAGGCUGAAGACUGCUCUCUACCAUCCUUGAAGCAGGAAAAAAACUCGAACUUGUCUUCCCUGCUGGGAGCAAGCUCAAACUCCAUAAAAGAGUUGUCAGCCUUCCAUCAUCACGGACCCAGGAAAUCUUGCCUUCCUUCUUGGAAGCAAAUAAAACUCCAAAAGAAGGAGAGGGGGAGUUGUACAUCAAAUAAACUUUAGAUCACGACCAAGUUUUGAGAGAUCAGGGACUCUAUGGAGGGGGUGCUCCCAGACCUCAGCAAAUUGUCCUGUUGGUUUGAGCCAUAAGGUUAGCUCAUGGUGCUACCAAGCACCAAUAGAUCUGUCAAAGGUCAGGGGUACCUCAACUCAGAAUCCCUCCAUGGUUACCAAAAUGUGAACCCCCCAAAUCUGAGACAGGUCUCAGUUAAUUUAGAAAGUUUAUUGUUCCAAGGUUGAAGAUGCACACCCGUGACACAGCCUCAGGAUGUCCUGACGACAUGUGCCAAGGUGGUCAUACGUUUUAGGGAGACAUGAGACAUCAAUCAACACAUGUAAGAUGAACAUUGGUUCAGUCUGGAAAAGGCCGGGCAACGCCAAGCAAAUGUGGGACAACUCGCAGCCAGGAGAAAGCUUCCAGGUCACAGGUGGGUGAGAGACAAAGGUCGCAUUCUUUUGAGUUUCUGAUGGGCCUUUCCAAAGAAGGCAAUCAGAUAUGCAUCUAUCUCAGUGAGCAGGGGGUGAUUUUGAAUAGAAUGGGGGGCAGGUCGGCCCUAAGCCAUUCCCGGCUUGACUUUCCCCUUUAGCUUAGUGAUUUUGGGGGCCCAAGAUUUAUUUUCCUUUCACAAAACAAUAAACAUAACAAAUAAGUGAAUUAUAGAAAGGUGAAAACUAUGGAAAAAAAAGAAAAACAGAGAGAAAGAAUCCUGAACACUGACGUGGGGAGGGCAGGUGCCAGCUGCAGUACUAAAUAGCAGAGGGGAGGGCAGGUGCCAGCUGCAGUACCAAAUACUGGUGUGGGGAGGGCAGGUGCCAGCUGCAGUGCGUGGGGAGGGCAGGUGCCAGCUGCAGUACUAAAUAGCGGGGGAAGAUUUUUUUCUGAGCAACUUUGAGUCACUGCUCACAUCUCAUGCCAAUGUAUUAAUCCCAAGUCAAGGGUCAGAUGAGGCACUCGGAUCUCUCCAGUUGCCAACACAGCUCUUCCAAGUGUACUUUACUUCCUUUCAUUCCUGCUCUAAAACUUUAUUUAUGUAUUUAUUUUUGAGACAGAAUCUUGCUCUGUCGCCUAGGCUGGAGUGCAGUGGCACAAUCCCAGUUCACUGCAACCUCUGCCUCUGGGAUCAGGCAAUUCUCCUGCCUCAGCUUCCUAAGCAGCUGGGAUAACAGGCGUGCACCACCGUGCUUGGCUAAUUUUUUUUUUCUUUUUUCGUAUUUUGAGUAGAGAUGGGGUUUCACCAUAUUAGCCACGAUGGUCUCGUACUUCUGACCUCAGGUGAUCCACCUGCUUUAGCCUCCCAAAGUGCUGGGAUUACAGGUGUGAGCCACCACGCCCAGCCCUGGCCAACUUUUGUUUUUUUUGAGACAGAGUUUCAUUCUUAUUGCCCAGGCUGGAGUGCGAUGGCCCAAUCUUGGCUCACUGCAACCUCUGCCUCCCAGGUUUGUAGGAUAUAAUAAAUUCUUCUUCAAAGGUUUUAGCCUGUAAAUUGUUAAGUACAAUGAGUUCUGAGAUCCUCUCCAAAGAAUCAAUGUAUCAGUAUGUUCAGCUCUUCAUUUUAAAGUUUAACUUCCUCGUUUUCUUCAUCUCCUUGCCCCUAGUUUCAGUAAACAACCCCCUCCUAGCCUCUAUCACCUGCUCCAUCCUGAGUCACCCCCAGUCACCUGCUCUAAUCUGAGUCAUCCUGAGUCAACAGGGUUUCACCAUGUUGGCCAAGUUGGUCUCGAACUCCUGACCUCAUGUGAUCCGCCCACCUCAGCCUCCCAAAGUGCUGGGAUUACAGGUGUAAGCCAUCGUGCCUGGCCAGUUUUCACUUUAAAAUGAUCUCUAAUACCAACUCUUGGGGUCCGAAUGGGUCCCCACUGGUUUCAAAUGUUGAGCAUGCACAGAUUAUGUGGAUGAGAACUUGCCAGGUGGGCUUACCGAAGGAGACGUGGUAAGAAUCGCCUACAUCUGCCAGGCCCUGAGGACAGGCCCUCUCCACACCGAGGCUUAUUUCCUUGGGUUGCAGAAGAGGAAACGCCAGGGAGCCCAGUAUUCUUUGGUUCAUUCACUUCUUUUUUAUGUUGUAACCUACAUACUGUAAACUACGCCCAGCUUAAGUAGCGUAUACCCUGAUGAAUUUUUAUGUACGUAUGUAUCCCCAGGAUGUAUCCGACACUCAGGUCAAGAUACAGAACGUGCUCAGCACCUCAACAGGUGCCCUUGUGUUCCCUUCCAGUCAAGCCCCCACUUGCCACCACAGAAUGGAACAAUCAUUUUUUUUUUUUUUUUAGAGACAGGGUCUCGCUCUGUCUCCAAAGCUGGAGUGCAGCUCCAUCAUGGUUCACUGCAGCCUCCGCCUCCCGGGUUUGAGCGAUCCUCCCAUUUCAGUGUAACCACCAUUCUUAUCUCUAUCACCAUAGAUUAGCUCUGCAUGUCUUUGAACUUCAUAUAAAUGGAAUCAUGCAUAGAUAGGCUCUUUUGUGUCUGGAUUCUCUCUGUUAACACUGUGUCUGUGAGACUCACUCACGCUGUGUGUAGUAUUAUGCUUCAUCCUUUUUUGUUGUUGCAUAGUAUUCCACUGUAUAAAUAUACCACAAUUUAUUUGUCUGUUUUCCUAUUGCUGUGCAUUUGGAUUGUUUUGUUUUUCACUAUUUUGAAUAAAGCUGCUAUGAACAUCCUUGUGUAUGUCUUGGGUAUACAGAUGGUCCUGGCUUACAAUGAUUGGAUUUAAAAUUGUUUGACUUUAUGAUGGGCUUAUCAGGGUAUUAAAUGUGUUUCUGACUUACAGUAUUUUUGACUUACCACGUGUUUAUUGGGACGUAACCCCUUCCUAAGAUGAAGAGCAUCUGUAUACAUCCAGAAUCCUGUGGAGCAACUCAUAACCCAUGAGGAAUGGAAGCCGACAGACAGACUCAUCCCCAGGACAGGUGGUUCUCACUACAUCUCAUAAAGCUUCUUAGAAGAUCUUACAGGAUUGAGCAACCAGCCAGCCACAGCAGGGGCCAACUGGAUAACACGUCUUUGCAUAGGCUCUCCCUCUGUCCCUGUCACCCUCCCCUUUUCCUAACCUUGUUCCUUGGGAUUAUGUUUUGAAAUAAAUUAUUCAGAGAAAUGAAGCCAAAGCUGACCCAUUAGCCAAUAGCUAGGUUCUGUGAUGACAGAGCUUCUGGGCUAUAAUCGUUUACUGAGAAGCCAGCGUUCCUGAGGGGAUAAUGGCUCGUUCCAUUCAGCUGCAGCAUAGGAGUGAGGGCAGGGCAUUAGCAGAAGAUAACACCAGAAACGUGCUCUGGGGCCUGUUGAUGACUUUCUGUGCCAAGCACAGACAUUUAGCCUUUAUUCUGUAUGUGAUGGGAAGCCAGUGCCAGUGGUGGGUUUGAGCAGGGAACCAGCAACCAGUGGUGGGUUUGAGCAGGGAACCAGCAAUACUCAAGCUCUGCUUGGAUGGAGGCCAGUCAGGGAGGAGUUAGGGCAGGAGGACCAGUCAGGGAGGAGACUUAGGGCAGGAGGACCAGUCAGGGAGGAGACUUAGGGCAGGAGGACCGGUCAGGGAGGAGACUUAGGGCAGGAGUACUGGUCAGGGAGGAGACUUAGGGCAGGAGGACCGGUCAGGGAGGAGACUUAGGGCAGGAGGACCGGUCAGGGAGGAGACUUAGGGCAGGAGGACCGGUCAGGGAGGAGUUAGGGCUGGAGGACGGGUCAGGGAGGAGACUUAGGGCAGGAGGACCGGUCAGGGAGGAGUUAGGGCUGGAGGACCGGUCAGGGAGGAGUUAGGGCAGGAGGACUGGUCAGGGAGGAGACUUAGGGCAGGAGGACCGGUCAGGGAGGAGACUUAGGGCAGGAGGACCGGUCAGGGAGGAGACUUAGGGCAGGAGGACUGGUCAGGGAGGAGACUUAGGGCAGGAGGACAGGUCAGGGAGGAGUUAGGGCUGGAGGACGGGUCAGGGAGGAGUUAGGGCUGGAGGACCGGUCAGGGAGGAGUUAGGGCAGGAGGACAGGUCAGGGAGGAGUUAGGGGAGGAGGACCGGUCAGGGAGGAGUUAGGGCAGGGGGAUUGGUCAGGGAGGAGUUAGGGCAGGGGGAUUGGUCAGGGAGGAGUUAGGGCAGGAGGACCGGUCAGGGAGGAGUUAGGGCAGGAGGACCGGUCAGGGAGGAGACUUAGGGCAGGAGGACUGGUCAGGGAGGAGUUAGGGCAGGAGGACCGGUCAGGGAGGAGUUAGGGCAGGAGGACCGGUCAGGGAGGAGACUUAGGGCAGGGGGAUUCGUCAGGGAGGAGUUAGGGCAGGAGGACCGGUCAGGGAGGAGUUAGGGCAGGAGGACUGGUCAGGGAGGAGUUAGGGCAGGAGGACAGGUCAGGGAGGAGACUUAGGGCAGGAGGACCGGUCAGGGAGGAGACUUAGGGCAGGAGGACUGGUCAGGGAGGAGUUAGGGCAGGAGGACCGGUCAGGGAGGAGUUAGGGCAGUAGGACCGGUCAGGGAGGAGUUAGGGCUGGAGGACUGGUCAGGGAGGAGUUAGGGCUGGAGGACAGGUCAGGGAGGAGUUAGGGCAGGAGGACGGGUCAGGGAGGAGUUAGGGGAGGAGGACUGGUCAGGGAGGAGUUAGGGCUGGAGGACCGGUCAGGGAGGAGUUAGGGCAGGAGGACCGGUCAGGGAGGAGUUAGGGCUGGAGGACCGGUCAGGGAGGAGUUAGGGCAGGAGGAUCGGUCAGGGAGGAGACUUAGGGCUGGAGGACUGGUCAGGGAGGAGUUAGGGCAGGAGGACCAGUUAGGAGGCAGUGACUUAGGACUUCAGCAGUGGCACUAGAAAGGGGAUGGAUAUGAACGACAUUGCAAAGUAAAACUAGAGAGACGGCCGGGCACAGUGGCUCACUCCUGUAAUCCCAGCACUUUGGGAGGCCAAGGCGGGUGGAUCAUGAGGUCAGGAGAUCGAGACCAGCCUGGCCAACAUGGUGAAACCCUAUCUCUACUAGAAAAAAAAAAAAAUAGCCAGGCGUGGUGGCGGGCGCCUGUAAUCCCAGCUACUCCAGAGGCUGAGGCAGGAGAAUUUGCUUGAACCAGGGAGUCGGAAGUUGCAGUGAGCUGAGAUCGCACCACUGCACUCCAGCCUGGGCAAUAGAGUGAGACUCCGUCUCAAUAACAAAACAAACAAACAAAAACCUAGAGAGACUUGGCACCUUGCAGAGAGAAGCAAAAGAUGACCCUGAGGUCUGGAGUCCAGGAAGCCAAGGACAGCAAAAGCAUCCACAGAAACAGGAAAAGGGCAGGUGUGGGAGGGAAGGUGAGAGGUUCAUCAGACCUCACAGCCCCUGGCAGCGCCUCCUGGAUCUUUGAAAUCCUGUGCACCCCAGGAGACUCCGGGAGGCCCAUCUGAGCUCACCGGAGACAGGUCUGCCGUCUCUCCUCUCAUCACUGGGGACAGAAAGCCUGAACAUGAGGCCUGGACUACGGGGCUCAGACCAGAAUAUUUCCAGACUUAAGGGCAGUAAUGUGGAGCCCAGGAAGGAAUAUUGAGGACAGAGGGCACAUUACUUAGCUCAAGGGGUGCUGGGUUCUUAUUUUCUACUUUCAAGAAAUGUUUGCUAUAGUCACUGUAACCACCACAAAACAGUGAAUAAUACCAUGAGCCAAAUGUAUGUUUCACAAUUUGUAUGGCUGAUUCUACGCACAUUUAAAUGUGUUUAUGACAAUUGUAGAUUUCGGUUUUCCUCUGG